rnacentral:rRNA from 1 species
AGUGAACGCUGGCGGUAGGCCUAACACAUGCAAGUCGAACGGCAGCACAGUAAGAGCUUGCUCUUACGGGUGGCGAGUGGCGGACGGGUGAGGAAUACAUCGGAAUCUACAUUUUCGUGGGGGAUAACGUAGGGAAACUUACGCUAAUACCGCAUACGACCUCCGGGUGAAAGCAGGGGAUCUUCGGACCUUGCGCGAAUGAAUGAGCCGAUGUCGGAUUAGCUAGUUGGCUGGGUAAAGGCCUACCAAGGCGACGAUCCGUAGCUGGUCUGACAGGAUGAUCAGCCACACUGGAACAGAGACACGGUCCAGACUCCUACAGGAAGCAGCAGCGGGGAAUAUUGGACAAUGGGGGCAAGCCUGAUCCAGCGAUACCGCGUGGGUGAAGAAGGCCUUCGGGUUGUAAAGCCCUUUUGUUGGGAAAGAAAAGCAGCAGGUUAAUACCCCGCUGUUCUGACGGUACCCAAAGAAUAAGCACCGGCUAACUUCGUG